AGUUCGAUCAUGGCUCAGAUUGAACGCUGGCAGGAUGCUUACACAUGCAAGUCGAACGGCGGCACGGACUUCGGUCUGGUGGCGAGUGGCGAACGGGUGAAUGUCAUCGGAACGUGAUGCUAGUAGCGGGGAUAACUGCGCGAAAGCGUAGCUAAUGCCGCAUACGCCCUUCGGGGAAAGCGGGGGACGGGCCUCGCACUGCCAAACGACCACGAUAUCGGAUUAGCUAGUUGGUGGGAGUAACGGCUCACCAAGGCGACGAUCCGUAGCUGGUUUGAGAGGACGACCAGCCACACUGGGACUGAGACACGGCCCAGACUCCUACGGGAGGCAGCAGUGGGGGAAUUUUUGGACAAUGGAAACCUGAUCCAGCCAUCCCGCGUGUGCGAUGAAGGCCUUCGGGUUGUAAAGCACUUUUGGCAGGAAAGAAACGGCACGGGAUAAUACCCCGUGCUGAACUGACGGUACCCAGUCAACGCAAGCUAACUACGUGCCGGCAGCCGCGGUAAUACGUAGAGAUUGCAAGCGUUAAUCGGAAUUACUGGGCGUAAAGCGUGCGCAGGCGGUUCCGGAAAAGAUGUAAAUCGGAAGCUUAACUUGGAACUGCAUUUUAACUACUGAGCUGGUAACGUGUGUCAGAGGGAGGUGGAAUUCGCGAUAUGCGUGAAGUACGUAGAUAUGCGGAGGAACACCGACAAGCGAAGGCAACCUCCUGGGGAUAACACUGACGCUCAUGCACGAAAACGUGGGGAGCAAACAGGAUUAGAUACCCUGGUAGUCCACGCUACAACGAUAUCUCAGCAACUGUUGGGCCUUCGGGCCUUGGUAGCGCAGCUAACGCGUGAAGUUGACCGCCUGGGGAAUACGAUUAACAAGAUUAAAACUCAAAGGAAUUGACGGGGACCCGCACAAGCGGUGGAUGAUGUGGAUAAUUCGAUGCAACGCGAAAAACUGCCUACCCUUGACAUGUCUGGAAUCCCGAAGAGAUUUGGGAGUGCUCGCAGAGAACCCGGUCAGGGUGCUGCGUGGCUGUCGUCAGCUCGUGUCGUGAGAUGUGGUUAGUCCCGCAACGAGCGCAACCCUUGUCAUUAGUUGCUACGAAAGGGCACUCUAAUGAGACUGCCGGUGACAAACCGGAGGAAGGUGGGGAUGACGUCAGAUCCCUCAUGGCCCUUAUGGGUAGGGCUUCACACGUCAUACAAUGGUCGGGACAGAGGGUCGCCAACCCGCGAGGAGGCAAUCCCGAAACCCGAUCGUAGUCCGGAUCUAAGUCUGCAACUCGUGCAUUGAAGUCGGAAUCGCUAGUAAUCGCGGAUCAGCGUAAUGUCGCGGUGAAUACGUUCCCGGGUCUUGUACACCGCCCGUCACACCAUGGGAGUGGGUUUUGCAAGUAGUUAACUCUAACCGUAAGGAGGGCGAUUACCACGGUAGGAUUCAUGACUGGUGAAGUCAGCAACAAAGGUAA
rnacentral:rRNA from 1 species